AUUGAACGCUGGCGGCAGGCCUAACACAUGCAAGUCGAGCGGAUGAAGGGAGCUUGCUCCUGGAUUCAGCGGCGGACGGGUGAGUAAUGCCUAGGAAUCUGCCUGGUAGUGGGGGAUAACGUCCUGAAACGGGCGCUAAUACCGCAUACGUCCUGAGGGAGAAAGUGGGGGAUCUUCGGACCUCACGCUAUCAGAUGAGCCUAGGUCGGAUUAGCUAGUUGGUGGGGUAAAGGCCUACCAAGGCGACGAUCCGUAACUGGUCUGAGAGGAUGAUCAGUCACACUGGAACUGAGACACGGUCCAGACUCCUACGGGAGGCAGCAGUGGGGAAUAUUGGACAAUGGGCGAAAGCCUGAUCCAGCCAUGCCGCGUGUGUGAAGAAGGUCUUCGGAUUGUAAAGCACUUUAAGUUGGGAGGAAGGGCAGUAAGUUAAUACCUUGCUGUUUUGACGGUACCAAAAGAAUAAGCACCGGCUAACUUCGUG
rnacentral:rRNA from 1 species